rnacentral:lncRNA from 1 species
UGAAAAAGUACAUUAUUUUUAAUUGUGAGUUUUACUUACUGGUUGGGUCCAUAAGGUUCCAAGAGACAUUUUAUGUCAGAAAUAAAGUAAAAAGUUUGUUGGUUCGUGAUGUAUUUAAUAAAAAACCAGAUAAAUUUAAUUAGAAUCCCAAUGGAUUCAAUAAAAUGAGUUCAUCAGAACGUUUUCAAACCUA